rnacentral:rRNA from 1 species
UACGUAGGGGGCUAGCGUUGUCCGGAAUCAUUGGGCGUAAAGAGCGUGUAGGCGGUUUGGUAGGUCCGCUGUGAAAACUCGAGGCUCAACCUCGAGACGCCGGUGGAAACCAUCAGGCUAGAGUCCGGAAGAGGAGAGUGGAAUUCCUGGUGUAGCGGUGAAAUGCGCAGAUAUCAGGAAGAACACCCGUGGCUAAGGCGGCUCGCUGGAACGUUACUGACGCUGAGACGCGAAAGCGUGGGGAGCAAACAGG